GUCUACAGCCAUCCCACCUUGAACGCACCGAGUCUCGUCUGAUCUUGGAAGCUGAGCAGGGUCAGGCCUGGGUAGUAGUUAUAUGGGAGAAUAUGUAUUUUAGUCU
rnacentral:rRNA from 1 species